CUGAAGUGUCACCUGCGCCAUGGCCGGACAUCUGCUCAUCCUCUUCAUCAGUGUCCAUUUUGUCGUCAAAGGACAAGUUCUUUUAGCUCCUACACUGACAGUGGAGCCAGAGCUUAUCAUCGACUCAGACCUGGUUCACUUAAAGUGUCAGACUAUAUUUCAAGACUCUCAAUGCUAUUUCAGUUUUGAUUAUUCACAAUACAAAAC